rnacentral:rRNA from 1 species
GCGCAAAUUACCCAAUCUAGACAGUAGGAGGUGGUGAAGAGAAUUUCUAAAUGGUGGUUCAAUGGAUCACUUGUUUGGAAUGAACGUAACUUAAGAAAUUCGUUGAUAAACAACUGGAGGGCAAGUCCUGGUGCCAGCAGCCGCGGUAAUUCCAGCUCCAGUAGUUUGCUUUAAAGUUGUUGCGUUUAAAACGCUCGUAGUUGGAUCACGCAGCAGUGUUCAGUUAUCUUUUGCGGCUGACUUUAAAUUGUGUCCGUCACUGACGGCGCAUUUACUGGCAGUGCAUCAGAUGCUAUGCUGAAUGCUGUUAGUUGCACGUGAGAUAGAUUGUUGGCCUUGAAUGAGCCGGUAUUCUUGUCUUGCGGGGUGUGCCUUGAAUAAAACAGAGUGCUUAAAGCAGGUUAUUGCCUGAAUGUUAUAGCAUGGAACGAACAAUCGUGUAUAUGUGCGUGUUAUUGGACGGCUGCGAGCUUUUGGUUUGCAGCUGUCCGAGAUGCGUACGGCACCCACCAAAAUAUGGCUGUUGGUUCCAUAUACGGUGAUGAUUAACAGGAGCGGUUGGGGGCAUUGGUAUUUGGCCGCGAGAGGUGAAAUUCUUAGACCGGCCAAGGACUAACAAAUGCAAAGGCAUUUGUCUAGACCGUUUCCAUUAAUCAAGAACGAAAGUGGGAGGUUCGAAGACGAUCAGAUACCGUCAUAGUUCCCACCGUAAACUAUGCCGACCUGGGAUCAGUUUGGAGAUGAUACAAGCUCCAAAUUGGUCCCCCUGGGAAACCUAAAGUUUUUCGGUUACGGGGAGAGUAUGGUCGCAAGGCUGAAACUUAAAGGAAUUGACGGAAGGGCACCACCAGGGGUGGAGCCUGCGGCUUAAUUUGACUCAACACGGGGAAACUUACCUGGUCCGGACAUCGAAAGGAUUAACAGAUCAAUAGCUCUUUUAUGAUACGAUGAGUGGUGGUGCAUGGCCGUUCUUAGUUCGUGGAGUGAUCUGUCAGCUUAAUUGCGGUAACGAACGAGACCACAGUCUCCAUUUAAAAGAUGGAAGAAGGCGUUCGGCUGGUCGAUUUCGGUCAUCAGUUGGAUUCUGNAGGAAGGACUAUGUUUCCUUUGUCGCUGCCGAGGGGUAACCUGAGGUGUAGGCGUUGGGAACGUGGUUUC